rnacentral:rRNA from 1 species
CCUACGGGGGACAGCAGUGGGGAAUAUUGGACAAUGGGCGGAACCCUGAUCCAGCGACGCCGCGUGAGGGAAGAAGAAUUUCGGUAUGUAAAGCUCUAUCAUCAGGGAAGAAAGAAAUGACGGUACCUGACUAAGAAGCCCCGGCUAACUACGUGCCAGCAGCCGCGUUAAUACGUAGGAGGCAAGCGUUAUCCGGAUUUACUGGGUGUAAAGGGAGCGUAGACGGCGAUGCAAGUCUGUAGUGAAAGGCGGGGGUCCAACCUGCGGACUGCUUUGGAAACUGUAUGGCUUGAGUGCAGGAGAGGUAAGUGGAAUUCCUAGUGUAGCGGUGAAAUGCGUAGAUAUUAGGAAGAACACCAGUGGCGAAGGCGGCUUACUGGACUGUAACUGACGUUGAGGCUCGAAAGCGUGGGGAGCAAACAGGAUUAGAUACCCCAGUAGUC